UGAAAUAGCUCAGUAGGUAGAGCAAUUCACUCGUAAUGAAUAGGUCGCAGGUUCGAAUCCUGUUUUCAGC
rnacentral:tRNA from 1 species